AGAAUAUUUUCCAUCAAUUUUGUGACCUCCAUGAAUAUAAAGGGCAAAGGUGGAAAUAUGCUUUAAGAGCACUAAUUUAUACGGUGUAGUGAAAGUUCAUGUAAUUUUUUCAAAAUCGAAUAUGCGGAAAGGAGCUGUUUGGAAUGAAGAUUUACAAAAAGAAGUAAUUCCAUCUAAUUGGAUUAGUGUUAAAACUGUCGGCUUCCAGGUACCAAAACAUUGACUGCACUAAAAUGCAGAGAAGAAUUGGCUAAAGUUUAUACAAAUAAAAACUAAAUUCUCUUAAGAGUAUUUUCGAAAAGUUAUAUGGCCUCCAUGGAUAUGAAGG